UUCCUCCAGGCUGAAAUAUCAAAAAUAAACAGGGCUUCAUUCCACAAUUACAGCCUAACUGGGAUAUUCCAUCUUAUUUCCUGCUGCCUUGAGGAUCUGGAGUCUAGCCCAGCUGUCAUUGGGCGAGAGGCGAGGUACACCCUGGACAAGCUGCAAGUCUAUCAUAGGACUAACAAGAGGACAAAGCAGAUGCAUGCAGAGGGAGACGAUGCAAACUCCAAACAGAAAGGCGGCAGCCCUGCAGAGAGUUUGAACCUUCUUGCUGUGAGGCCAAUGCACCACCAUGCAGCCUUCAUCCUGCUGCCCCAAAUUCUUAUUUGAGUAUUAAACGUGGAUAAACUGUUGCUGAAAAUCGUCCCCAACAUAUGAACAGAUCUCUUUUUGAUCAUCUUUAAAGAAGUCAGCUUAGUUUAAAACAACCAAGGGCACAAAAAGGCCUGAAUAUCGGUGCCAAAUUUCAAGUAUUGUGCAUAAAAUGUUCAAUUCCUGCAGGUCUGAUGUAGAAAAAUCCUUUUCAUGUUUGAAAUGUAUUUUUACAAUGAGGCUAUAACACAGCAAAUGUUUGCACGGUUAGGUAAAGGACAGAUCAGCUUGAGACGCUCUCUUUUUCUCCUCUACACACAUCUGGGCAAGUGUGAUGUGAAUAACUGAAGCUCACAUUCAGCAUUCGCUACUUAAACUUUGCAUGAGGUAACUUUACGUUCAGUCAAAACAUCAGCAAGACAACUUGUGAUGUUGCUGAAGCGUGUGUGUGCACAGCAUGGAUUCCAUGUCCCUUAAUCUGAGUGUGAGAGAUUAUAGUUUACACUUGCACCAGAGUUACCAUGCAGUUUGAUUAGGAUUAGCUGGCUAGUUUGCUUGAUAUAAAAAGAUGGAUGCAACAACAGCUGACAUGAUACUAGGAUCUUCAGCUGCAGCCUUGUGUCCAACAAGUUAAAUCAAAGUCUGAUCAUCAUGUAACGUGUACAGUCUAGUUUUAUGUGUUGAUGUCAGGUUCAGAGGUCAAAA